rnacentral:lncRNA from 10 species
GGAACAGAACCAGAAAUAACUCUGAGGAACUUUGAAAGGAAGGAAGUGGAAGUCAGGAAACUAAGUAAUGGACUGGAAGUCAUAUAUGACUUGAAAGCUUUCUUCCUAACUGUUUUAUGAAUCUGAUAACUACUCUACUAUCGUUUCUCCAUCAAUUCCUCCUUCUCACCAACAGGAGGAAAUGGUUCUGGCUCAAUUCAUGGGAUUUCUUGGGGAAGUUUCAAUAGACUAAUGGACUCCAACAGAAAAGUUUGUUCCAACUGAGAUCUUUCACAAAAUGUUUCAUGGUAAAUAUAGGUCUUAUUGUCAUACAUUCUAAACUCAUCAAGUUCUUCAACUUGAUGGCAAAAUCAUCCUCUGAGCUAUUUCAAGAUAUUCUCUUAUGAAAAAACAGAAACAAAAAAAAACCUUAACAGACACUGCAUGCUAAAUAAACUGAAGACACACAGCUUGGGACUCUAACUGCUUUCCUUUCUACUAACAGAUACCGUCACUCUUGCCCAGUUCUGAAUCCAAUCAAAACUUAGUAAAACAUUUUAUUUCAUCCAUUAAUGACAGAAAGGAAUAAAAGAGAAAGACCUUAUAAUUAUACACCAAAUCUAGCAGAAGGUAAGUCUUAAAUUAAUUAAAUUAAACUUUUCAAACAAAACCAUACUGUCUUCCAGACUCAUCCUGCAUAUGUAUAUUGGCCUGCCAGAACUGGUAUUUAUUAUGAGCUAUUUGAAUUUCAAUCAUUUAUUCACAACCCUUAUGUCAGGCUCUCAUUAAAAUUCAUUCACAAGCAACUGGUAGGUAAUACUGGCAACCCAAUGUGUACCUCCUGCUUUUAACCAGAUACUAAAAUCUAGUGAUGGCUCACUCUUACAAAGUUGCACUUAGGCCUGUGGGUGAAGUCAGAAACUUGCUUCACAUAACUUUUUUACAACAUACAAAGUAAGUAUCAUUCUCUGAUGUGCAAAUUGCACUGAUAAGGUGACUCUUUCUGAGGUUAAGUUACAUGCCCUGAGCAAACUAAUUUUCCCCCUUUCAGUUUGUACAUAAAAUUUAUAGCCAGGUGGUAGAGGUCGUAGCACCAAUGUGUGCAGUAAUCAUAUCUAGGGCCAAGAUACUAGGAUUAUAAAAACCUCUCAGCUUUGAUAGUGUGGAUGCUACUUGCUCUCACUGUGGGUACAUGCUAUCUCCCUCCUCUCCUAAUGCUUGAAGGUUGAGUCCACUCUGAACCUUGAUCUUACAAGGGCCCACCCACUGGAUCCAAUCUACAAUGUAGCCUAAGCAAAUCUUUGGAAAGUAAUACAAAAUCUACACCCACAACUAAUGGACAACUAAUGCACCAUUACAGAUACACACUCAUAAACUCUUCUGACAUAAUGCCAGGAAGUGUGUGUAUGGAAAAGGUGUGGCUAUACGGGUGUGUGUGUGUAUGUGGUGUGUAUUAAUGAGAGAUUAAUUUUGAUAGAUUAUAUAGUUUUAUGUUGGAUAUUCUUUCAUUAUAUUGAAUGAUUGUAUAAGAAAUAAGAAAUUUGCAAAUGUCAUUUCCACUUAUGAGAGUCAAUAAAGAAAAUGUAAAAUGGCU